GACGAACGCUGGCGGCGUGCCUAAUACAUGCCAGUUGAGCGCUGAAGGUUGGUACUUGUACCAACUGGAUGAGCAGCGAACGGGUGAGUAACGCGUGGGGAAUCUGCCUUUGAGCGGGGGACAACAUUUGGAAACGAAUGCUAAUACCGCAUAAAAACUUUAAACACAAGUUUUAAGUUUGAAAGAUGCAAUUGCAUCACUCAAAGAUGAUCCCGCGUUGUAUUAGCUAGUUGGUGAGGUAAAGGCUCACCAAGGCGAUGAUACAUAGCCGACCUGAGAGGGUGAUCGGCCAAAUUGGGACUGAGACACGGCCCAAACUCCUACGGGAGGCAGCAGUAGGGAAUCUUCGGCAAUGGACGAAAGUCUGACCGAGCAACGCCGCGGGAGUGAAGAAGGGUUUCGGAUCGUAAAACUCUGUUGGUAGAGAAGAAAGUUGGUGAGAGUGGAAAGCUCAUCAAGUGACGGUAACUACCCAGAAAGGGACGGCUAACUACGUG
rnacentral:rRNA from 1 species